rnacentral:sRNA from 1 species
AGGGUGUCACGGUCCGACGUGACAGGGGGCCACGGUUCCCUGCGGGCGGCGGGGAGGGAUUUCCUGGGGCGCCCCCUGGAAUCCAAGCCCGACCGCAGUGUCUGACCAUGGUCCGCGGCGCGGCCGGGUGGUCCUGCAGGGGCCGCGCAUAGCUCGGACUACAGCAUGUGGAGGAAGAACCAGUACGUCAGUAACGGGCUGCGCGACUUUGCGGAGCGCGGCGAGGCCUGGGCGCUGAUGAAGGAGAUCGAGGCGGCGGGGGAGGCGCUGCAGAGCGUGCACGCGGUGUUUUCGGCGCCCGCCGUCCCCAGCGGCACCGGGCAGACGUCGGCGGAGCUGGAGGUGCAGCGCAGGCACUCGCUGGUGAGCGCGGGGCCGGCCGGGGGCGGGGUCCCGGGGGCCGGGGCCAGGCGCGCUGAGCCGCCGUCGCCGCAGGUCUCGUUUGUGGUGCGCAUCGUGCCCAGCCCCGACUGGUUCGUGGGCGUGGACAGCCUGGACCUGUGCGACGGGGACCGCUGGCGGGAACAGGCGGCGCUGGACCUGUACCCCUACGACGCCGGGACGGACAGCGGCUUCACCUUCUCCUCCCCCAACUUC